GACGAAUGCUGGCUGCGUGCUUAACACAUGCAAGUCGAACGGUGAAGGGGAGCUUGCUCCCCGGAUCAGUGGCGAACGGGUGAGUAACACGUGGGCAACCUGCCCCUCACUCUGGGAUAACUCCGGGAAACCGGGGCUAAUACCGGAUACGACCGGGAGCGACAUCGCUCCUGGUGGAAAGAAUCUCGGUGAGGGAUGGGCCCGCGGCCUAUCAGCUAGUUGGUGGGGUAACGGCCCACCAAGGCGACGACGGGUAGCCGGCCUGAGAGGGCGACCGGCCACACUGGGACUGAGACACGGCCCAGACUCCUACGGGAGGCAGCAGUGGGGAAUAUUGCGCAAUGGGCGAAAGCCUGACGCAGCGACGCAGCGUGAGGGACGAAGGCCUUCGGGUUGUAAACCUCUUUCAGCGGGGACGAAGCGAAAGUGACGGUACCCGCAGAAGAAGCACCGGCUAACUACGUGCCAGCCGCCGCCGUAA
rnacentral:rRNA from 1 species